CCAAGUAAAAGUGAUAUGUGCAAAUUCCAAGUAAAAGCCAAUUGUAAGUUCAGGUGCGUGAAAAAUCUGUCGGACCUAGUCACAAUGAGUCCUAUGAUCAGGUUGCGCUUGAUAUUGAUUAUCAUCAGAAUAUGUUGACUUCCCACCAGAAGGUGAAUCCAAAGGAAGCCAUUGUUGGAUGGAUAGGUUUUCAACUGGUGGAGUAAUUGGUGGCAGUGCAUUGAUCCACGAGUUCUAAUAUUUCACUGGGUGUGUGCUUUACAUGAUAUCAAUGCAUUUAAACCUUCUAACUAGCAAAUAACAUUUUAUUGGGAAACAGUUGAUAUUAUGGUUUUAAUCUUGGGCACAGGAGGGAGAAGGGUAGGCUCAACAGCAACUUUCUGCAUUGUCAAGUUUGAAUUUUAAGCAUGAUGUUUGAUAUGUUUAAUUUAUUUAUCUAAUUACCUCUUGUCUUUCAUGUUCUUUCUAUCUGAUUUGAGGUCUAAGCCACUCUUCAGGACUGGGCAGCCAUUUGUUAUGCUCCAAGGUGUUUAGUAAAUUCUGCAGUUUCCGCUAGGUUUAAUGCCUUUGCAGUCAUAGUAAGUGUUUGAGGCCUUCUUUUGUUGCCGAAUUAAUCCUCAACCAUGUCCUUUUCUUCUUGCAGGACCAACUUCUGUUGCUUUAUUUGUCUAGCAUUACGAGAACACAACUUAGCUUAGCCGAAAAGCUCAAUACUGCUGCCCAGAUCCUUUGAUGGAUCACCAUUCUAGUUUCUCGGUACACCAUGAUAGUAUCUGUCAUGUAGUUUUUUUCUUUUCGAGAUGUACCAGUACGACCUUUCUUUUCAUUUAUGAUUUGCUUUGUUGAGAAUCUCUUUUUUUGGCCAGAACAAACUAGCUAUUUGCUUCACCUUUGUUUGUCCCUGGUAAAAAUUAUUAUGGAACAGCAAUCUAUAUUGAUA